UACGUAUGUUGCAAGCGUUACUCGGAAUCACUGGGCGUAAAGCGUACGUAGGCGGACUUAUAAGUCAGAGGUGAAAUUUCGGAGCUCAACUCCGGAGCUGCCUUUGAAACUGUAAGUCUUGAGUAUUUGAGGGGUAGAUGGAAUUCCAGGUGUAGCGGUGGAAUGCGUAGAUAUCUGGAAGAACACCGGUGGCGAAGGCGGUCUACUGGCAAAAUACUGACGCUGAGGUACGAAAGCGUGGGGAGCGAACAGG
rnacentral:rRNA from 1 species